rnacentral:rRNA from 1 species
CACGUAGGGUGCGAGCGUUGUCCGGAAUUAUUGGGCGUAAAGAGCUCGUAGGCGGUGUGUCGCGUCGGCCGUGAAAACCUGCAGCUUAACUGUGGGCGUGCGGUCGAUACGGGCAUCACUGGAGUUCGGCAGGGGAGACUGGAAUUCCUGGUGUAGCGGUGAAAUGCGCAGAUAUCAGGAGGAACACCAGCGGCGAAGGCGCCACUCUGGGCCGAAACUGACGCUGAGGAGCGAAAGCGUGGGUAGCAAACAGG